AUUGAACGCUGGCGGCAUGCCUAACACAUGCAAGUCGAACGGCAGCACGGUUGUUGCUUGCUGGUUGCGAGGGGCACUGGCGGGCGUCAUACGAAUAAACUGGACUUGACUUUGGGGUUAGCCCGGAGAAAGGGGAAUUAAUACGGAUAACGCCGUCCACCUGAAGGUGGGGGCAGGGCAGGUUUCGCGCUUUUGGGUUGGCAGGUGGCCGAUUAGCUUGUUGGUGGGGUAAAGGCCUACCAAGGCGACGACCAGUAGCUGGUCUGAGUGGACGACCAGCCACACUGGAACUGAGACACGGCCCAGACUCCUACGGGAGGCAGCAGUGGGGAAUUUUGGACAAUGGGCGAAAGCCUGAUCCAGCAAUGCCACGUGUGUGAAGAAGGCCUUCGGGUUGUAAAGACCUUUUGUGGGGAAAGAAAAGCUUGGCGUUAAUACGGUGCGGUUAUGACGGUACCGGAAGAAUAAGCACCGGCUAACUACGUG
rnacentral:rRNA from 1 species